rnacentral:rRNA from 1 species
GAUCGAAUGGGGAGAUUCAUCGUCAACUGAUGCUGGCUCCCGGUUGAUGCGCGAUGCCCCGGACGCGAACCCUUCGCGGGGUUCCGUUUUCGGAGGGCACACCAUCACCGGCGAAUGUUCCGGCGAAGUAGUCGUGCACUUCUCCCCUAGUAGAACGUCGCGACCCGUUGCGUGUCGGUCUACGGUCCGAGGCGGAGCCUGUCCGUCGCCUUUGUGCGUUCGUGACAGACCCUCGGUUUCCCGGCCGACUGCGCGACGGUACUCGAGAAACGGUAUCGGGCCGCAACCAGUAAAAUCCAUUUUCGAAUGGUGUGUGCGUCAGGACCGCCGCAAGCUCGGUUCAGCAGUAUACCCGGAUCGACGGACUAUGUGCCGUCCCCGGGCCUGACCAGCUGUUUGCGCGUGGAGUCCUUUGACUGGCCAAGCUACGAAUUACCGGUCGGCGACGCUAUUGCUUUGGGUACUCUCAGGACCCGUCUUGAAACACGGACCAAGGAGUCUAACAUGUGCGCGAGUCAUUGGGAUUUAUAAUAAACCUAAAGGCGAAAUGAAAGUGAAAGUCGUCCUUUGCGUCGACCUAGGGAGGAUGGGCCUCGUUACGAUAAGGCCUCGCACUCCCGGGGCGUCUCGUUCUCAUUGCGAGAAGAGGCGCACCCAGAGCGUACACGUUGGGACCCGAAAGAUGGUGAACUAUGCCUGGUCAGGACGAAGUCAGGGGAAACCCUGAUGGAGGUCCGUAGCGAUUCUGACGUGCAAAUCGAUCGUCGGAACUGGGUAUAGGGGCGAAAGACUAAUCGAACCAUCUAGUAGCUGGUUCCCUCCGAAGUUUCCCUCAGGAUAGCUGGCACUCGCUCAGAUAAAUAUGUGCGACUCUCAUCUGGUAAAGCGAAUGAUUAGAGGCCUUGGGGCCGAAACGACCUCAACCUAUUCUCAAACUUUAAAUGGGUGAGAUCUCUGGCUUGCUUGCAUCAAAUGAAGCCACGAGAUAAAUUGAUAAAAUGGAUCAGAGUGCCAAGUGGGCCAAUUUUGGUAAGCAGAACUGGCGCUGUGGGAUGAACCAAACGCAGAGUUAAGGCGCCUAAGWCGACGCUUAUGGGAUACCAUGAA